GAAAGCCUCUAAAUUUCAAAAACGCUCUCCCCCUCUCUUUGCGAAAAUCACAGCUGCACUUCCCUCACUGCAAUCUUUCUCAAUCUCUCCACUGCCUACGUCGGUGGCUUCUGCGACUGAGCGCUGACCAUCCAAACGCACCGCUACCACCUAUCGCCGGCGUCUUCUCCCUCACUCUCAGGUUUUCUUUUCCCGUCACGCGUCCGUGGCUCCAUUUCGACUUCAUCCUAUUUUUACAUUAGAUUCAGGUUUUGGAGGAGUUUAUCGUGUUGUCCAGCAAAUGUUAAUUACAUUUUGGGGAAUUUCCAGUCAGACGACCUACGGGGAUUAUUUGUGCAGUUUGGUCCUCUUAAGGACACUUACUUGCCACAAGAUUAUUAUUUUGGAUUUGGUCGAAGUUGGGUUACAGUACAUUGAGAAGUUCAAGUCUUGAAGAAUUUCAUCUCAGUUUUUUCUUAGCCACUCAGAAGGUUAGCAUGGUGAUGUUAAUAUUCUCUUGUUAGAGCUCUCUGUCGAUGUUUCUGCCACUCCCAAUCGAUAGAUUAAUGAUCAAUGAUAUCACUGGUUUAAGUGACAUUUUGGAAAAAUAUGCUAAGUUCUUUUUUUUUUUUUAAUUUUUUAUUAAGAUUCUCUGUAAAUAUUAAAUAUUAGAGGUGGGUGUGGAAAUGGAUGGAGAGCUUGGAAAAUGAAAUCUGUCUUCUUUUUUUUUUUUUUCUAGAGGGGGGAUUUUCAAGAUGAGCGUAUAUCAAAAGACGAAUGAGAUAUUUAAAAAAAGAGUAAAAGAUAAAAAAUAAAAAAAAAGGAGAUGAGUAUCUUUUCUUUUUUUGUUUGUAUAGGGUUUUAGCAAAUUCACAUAUUUUAAUCGUUAGCUGUAUUUUGUGGAGUUGUAAACUCUUUAGGAUUGUAUCAAGGAAAGAAAAAGAUAAACGAUAUAUUAUUAUUUAUGAAUGUAUUGAAAUGCUAAUGAUGUUGUGUGAU